AACGAACGCUGGCGGCAUGCCUAACACAUGCAAGUCGAACGAGACCUUCGGGUCUAGUGGCGCACGGGUGCGAAACGCGUGGGAACCUGCCCUUAGGUUCGGAAUAACUCGCCGAAAGGGGUGCUAAUACCGGAUAAUGUCUUCGGACCAAAGAUUUAUCGCCUUUGGAUGGGCCCGCGUUGGAUUAGCUAGUUGGUAGGGUAAAAGCCUACCAAGGCGACGAUCCAUAGCUGGUCUGCGAGGAUGAUAAGCCACACUGGGACUGAGACACGGCCCAGACUCCUACGGGAGGCAGCAGUGGGGAAUAUUGGACAAUGGGCGAAAGCCUGAUCCAGCAAUGCCGCGUGAGUGAUGAAGGCCUUAGGGUUGUAAAGCUCUUUUACCCGGGAUGAUAAUGAGAGUACCGGGAGAAUAGGCUCCGGCUAACUCCGUG
rnacentral:rRNA from 1 species